rnacentral:rRNA from 3 species
GCCUGAGAAACGGCUACCACAUCCAAGGAAGGCAGCAGGCACGCAAAUUACCCAAUCCCAGCUCUGGGAGGUAGUGACGAAAAAUAACAAUGCGGGACUCUUCCGAGUCUGCGUAAUUGGAAUGAGCACACUUUAAAUCCUUUAGCAACAACCAAUUGGAGGGCAAGUCUGGUGCCAGCAGCCGCGGUAAUUCCAGCUCCAAUAGCGUAUAUUAAAGUUGUUGCGGUUAAAAAGCUCGUAGUCCGAGUUCAGUUCCGGACUGGCCGGGGAGGUCACCGCCCGGUGCUUCCCCGUCAGGCUCCGAACAGCUUUUAUGACUAAAAGCCAAGCCGGUUUUCGCCGGGGUGCUCUUCACCGAGUGUCCCGCGCGGCCGGCCAGUUGACCUUGAAUAAAUGAGAGUGCUCAAAGCAGGCUACUCUUAAAAAUAAAGCCCGAAUGUUACCUGCAUGGAAUGAUGGAAGAUGAUCUCGGUUCCAUUUUAUUGGUUCUGGGAGUCCGAGUUAAUGAUAAACAGGGACUGUCGGGGGCAUCCGUACUACGACGCGAGAGGUGAAAUUCAGUGACCGUCGUAGGACGAACAACAGCGAAAGCAUUUGCCAAGAAUGUCUUCGUUGAUCAAGAACGAAAGUUAGAGGAUCGAAGGCGAUCAGAUACCGCCCUAGUUCUAACCCUAAACGAUGCUGACUAGCAAUCCGCCGUCGUUAUUCCCAUGACGUGGCGGGACGCCCCCGGGAAACCUCAAGUCUUUGAGUUCCGGGGGUAGUAUGGUUGCAAAACUGAAACUUAAAGGAAUUGACGGAAGGGCACCACCAGGAGUGGAGCCUGCGGCUUAAUUUGACUCAACACGGGAAACCUCACCAGGCCCGGACACCAGAAGGAUUGACAGAUUAAGAGCUCUUUCUCGAUUUGGUGGGUGGUGGUGCAUGGCCGUUCUUAGUUGGUGGAGUGAUUUGUCUGGUUAAUUCCGGUAACGAACGAGACUCUGGCCUACUAAAUAGUCGACGUGGGUUUUGGUGCAUGGGCCCCGUUCGACAAUGUCUUCUUAGAGGGAUGAGCAGCGAGUAUAGCUGCAGGAGAUUGAGCAAUAACAGGUCUGUGAUGCCCUUAGAUGUCCUGGGCCGCACGCGCGCUACACUGAAUGGGUUAGCGGGUUCUCCUUCUCCGAGAGGAGAGGGAAAUCGCGUGAAAACCAUUCGUGAUAGGGAUUGGGGCUUGCAAUUGUUUCCCAUGAACGAGGAAUUCCCAGUAAGCGCAAGUCAUCAGCUUGCGUUGAUUAAGUCCCUGCCCUUUGUACACACCGCCCGUCGCUACUACCGAUUGAAUGAUUUAGUGAGGCCUUCGGACUGGCGGUCUUGGACUGGGCUCCACUCGCCAUCACUCCAGCAAUGGGGGGCGGUGGACUCGCCAUGACGAGCCGGAAAGAUGUCCAAACUUGAUCAUUUAGAGGAAGUAAAAGUCGUAACAAGGUUUCC